rnacentral:tRNA from 1 species
AGCUCAGUGGCACAGCACCUGCCUGGCAAACAGGAGGCCCUGGGUUCAAUUCCCGG